rnacentral:misc_RNA from 1 species
AACGCACGAGACCUGCGGACCUGCGGAGGGAUCAUUACCGAGUUCUCGCCCCUCGCGGGGUAGACCUCCCACCCACUGUGAUCACUACCGUCGUUGCUUUGGCGGGCCGCUGGGCCCAGCCCACCGCCGGCUCCGGCUGGCGCGUGCCCGCCAGAGGCCCUACAAACGCUGGAUAUCAGUGCCGUCUGAGUACACAUGUUAAUCGUUAAAACUUUCAGCAACGGAUCUCUAGAUCGGAAG